rnacentral:lncRNA from 1 species
AAAAACUCAAGGAGAUGUUUGAUCACACAAAAACUGUGAUUCUCCCACAUGCCCAAUAUAAUUAGCACCACUUAAGGCUGCAGGACUUCAAAUCUGUUACCGACUAUGAUUCGGCCCUAAGGCUGCAGGACUUCAAAUCUGUUACGGAGUAUGAUUCGGCACUGUUUAAACUUGAGUCCCGAUUAGCCUUGUGCGGAGUUAAAAUACCUGAAUAUGAUAAAUUGGAAAAAC